UUUUCCGUGUUGAAUUUUGCUAAAACAAGUAAAUGAGCGGAAUGACCAGUUUUGCCUGUCCGAUCAUACACGCAGCAAUGGCGUAAGACGUAUUGAUCUUUCAGGCAGUUAGCGGGCUGCGGGUUGCAGUCCUUACCGGUAGAUGGAAUCUUCUCUGGAGAGUUUUUCCCAGGCUGUUCCCCUGAUAAUUGCGCUGUAUUUUCCACAGGAAAUGCAGGCAACCGACACACUGCGCCUCUUAAGCGAGCGACAACCGUGAGGUUGGCGACGCGUAAUAGACUCGAGGCCAUCGGUUCUCCCCGGAAAGGCAAAAUCUUGCCCGCAGCUUAGUCGUCAA
rfam:Enterobacter cloacae S611 EDP2.NODE_1923, whole genome shotgun sequence.